CUGCUUCAUACACUGGUAUUAGAGUGUAGCGCUGUGUAACAUUUCUUGUGCAGUAAAAGUUGUAGGAAGAACACCUGGAAGAAGACAGAUGAUGGCAGACUAAUUUGAGAUUGAAAUAGUGAGAGUAACUUGUCACAUAAUGUUUUGUUUGGCAAUAUUUUAUUUAAAAUAUUGAUAUUGAAACAUUUAUGUAAAAAUAAGAAUGUCUUAAAACAAUUAGCAAUUUGCUACUGACUGAUAACAUUAUCCCAGACAUUAAGUCCAAUUCCUUUAACUUUAGUUCUCACAGAUAGAUAACAACAUGCUUAUCAUUUUCAGUAGCAAGAGAAAAAGAAGCUGCCAGAGGAAUUCAGGCAAGGUUGACAGAGGAGAACUGACAGUGGACAUCAGAAGCAGAUGUUGACCUGAAACAUUGAAUACCCUCCACAGAUGCUACUGUUCCUCUAGCAACUUCUAGCAACUUCUUUCUUGCCCCGGAUUCCACCACCAGCUGUCUCUUAUUGCGUUUGGAUCAUGCUGGAACUGAAGUCAUGCAAGAUAGCCACAAGCUUCCCACUUAUGCAGAAGGAUUUGAUUGUAUCCCAGGAAAAAUAAUGUACAAAAUUUCAAAUACCAUUUUCUACAAACAAAUCAAGACAUUCCUUUAGCUUUAGCUUAAAAGUUGCACUGUUUAACUUUAAAAAAUUUGUUCAAAAGAUUGAAAUAAAAUAUAUAAGAUUAGCUAGUGUAACCCAUCAAAUCCCCAUGGAAAUAUGAAGCAGUCAGUUUUAUUAGAAAUAUUAGAUAACACAGAAUCAAAAGCCCACACAUUGAUCUUAUUAGCAUUUAUUGUUUAGCUGAAUAUUUUGGAUGACCAAUAAUUUCAUCAGUAAAAAGUAAUCCAGAAAGACUAUCAAAUCACAGCAGAAAAAAAUGACAAGAGUAAAUGUGAAUGUAUAAUUUUAAAAUAUGAAAGUGUGUGCUCUGAUGACCUUGCACUGCCAAGUAAUAGGGAAUUGAAGAUAAACUCAUGCAAAUAGUAUAUUGGCAGGAGUCACAUGCUCUGAAAAAUGCUUUAUUUUGAAUGUCAGUUCCACUUAAUGAGAUAAUACAUCUUCCUGCAUUGGCUGGCAUAACCAAACUUUAUCCUGAAAAGGAAAAUGGGGUCAAUGUGUUAUUUAUUACCAUCUAAACAUUAAAUUCUGCAUUGUUUUCUGCAUCUAACUUUACACUGAUGAGCUGGUUGAAGCUUACAAAUGCAGAACUUCAGAAAAUUAACAAAGUGUUUAUAUGACAUUUCUACAAUGUAAUCUAUCCUAUCAUUCAUCACAGUCAGACGUCCACUUCUCAUUGUUUUAAACAGAUCUGUGACAUAAAUGUGUUGAAGCUUACUGUAAAAUAAGUAGUUCCACAUAAGGGCAGUUCCAGACAGAUAUCAGGUCUGCUAAAAUUCUACAACACUAGUUGUUCUUUGCAGUUGCUCAUGUCAAUUUUGUAAUACAGACCUUGAGACAUGGCCACCUUAUUGUUAAUUAGAUUGUUAACUUUUCUUGCUUAAAAAUUGAAAGUGAUACAUAUUAAAAGUGAUACCUUUUCUGAGUUCAUAGAUAUGUUAGUGCCUUGUGCCAGACUUACAACACAAAUUGAGGUGUCUUAUGAAAUAGUUCUAAUUCAUUACUGAAACUCCUUCCACCAGAUAGUCUGAUCUUAAGUACAAGUUUAAGUUCAUCUCUGGGAAGCCAGGCUUCAUUCCCAAAAAGUAGGACCUCUGAAAAAUUAAAAAUGGAGAUUCCAGAAUUUAGAAAUUAGAGGUUGAGUACCGUUAUCUGACAUUCUGAAAACUGAAAAACUCCAUAAUCCAAAUAUUUUUAUAGCUGGCACGAUAUCACAGAGUGGGAAAAUUCCUAGGUGGUGCACAGGUCUCUGCAUACUACAGACAGUAAUGAGACGUGACCUCACAUAUGUAAUGAACAGAAAUUAAUGAAAAAUAGGAAAAUACUGCAUGAAACAAAAAUUGCAGAUCUCGAUUGUGUAGCGUCAGUGUUGGAGUGAACAUGUGCCGCAGAAUAAUAUGCUGAUGAUGAAAAAAGCAAAGGUCUAUUGUGGCAUCUCCAUUUGUGUACUUUUCUAAGGCUGAGGUCUACGUUUUGGGAAUGAAACCUGGCUUUCUAGGGAUGAACUUAAACUUGUGGACUAACUGGUGAAGGAAUCUUAUGUCACUAUGACACUUCAAUAUUAUCCUGAAAGUUUAAGGUCAUGUGAAUAUUCAGCAGGCUGGUUGAAGAAAUUUAAGGAAAAGCAUGGUAAUGCUUAAAUCGUGGGCUGAUCUUGCACCAGAAGUAUACAAUCCUGAUUGUUUUUAUAUCUUACUUAAUGGCAUUAAACUUUUAAAAUGUUGCUGAUGAAAGUCUAACCCCAGAACAAGUCUAUGAUGCUGAUUACUUUUAUACCUUACAUCAAACCUUAAUAAACAAAUAUAGUGUACUGUAGCCUUAUAAUCAAAACAUAACAUUGUGGGUGGAGACUGAAAUCCUGCCCUUGUUUGUUGUUGUUCAACAGCUGAUUCAGCUAUUCUUCCAAUACUGUUGUGCUGCCUUUGUUACCCUGCACGUAUUAUAUAUUAUAUUUUCAUUAUA